AGAAAAGAAAGAGGAGAAAAGAGAGAGAGAGAGAGAGGGAGAGAGAGAAAAGAGGAGGAAAGAAGAGGAAAAGAAUUAGAUACAAGCCCUUCGAAAGUAAUUGAUCAUAAGCCAAGUUGGACGGAACGAAAGGUAAUCAGGAUUAGAAUGGCGGGCAGAGUAACAAAGUUAUUAAGCUUAUGUUAUGGUUAUGUAAUGAAUAAGAGAAGAGUGUAGCCUAUGUUGAUCUUAGCAUAAUGAAUUAAUAGUGAUUGUUGGUUAUUAGAAAA